GACGAACGCUGGCGGCGUGCCUAAUACAUGCAAGUAGAACGCUGAAGAGAGGAGCUUGCUCUUCUUGGAUGAGUUGCGAACGGGUGAGUAACGCGUAGGUAACCUGCCUUGUAGCGGGAGAUAACUAUUGGAAACGAUAGCUAAUACCGCAUAACAAUGGAUGACACAUGUCAUUUAUUUGAAAGGGGCAAUUGCUCCACUACAAGAUGGACCUGCGUUGUAUUAGCUAGUAGGUGAGGUAAUGGCUCACCUAGGCGACGAUACAUGGCCGACCUGAGAGGGUGAUCGGCCACACUGGGACUGAGACACGGCCCAGACUCCUACGGGAGGCAGCAGUAGGGAAUCUUCGGCAAUGGGGGCAACCCUGACCGAGCAACGCCGCGUGAGUGAAGAAGGUUUUCGGAUCGUAAAGCUCUGUUGUAAGUCAAGAACGGGUGUGAGAGUGGAAAGUUCACACUGUGACGGUAGCUUACCAGAAAGGGACGGCUAACUACGUG
rnacentral:rRNA from 1 species